GUUUUUAUACUAACAUAUGAGUUUUUCUAGCCUACUGCCUUCUGAUUGGCUGAACAAGGCCUCCCACGGAUCACGCCUCUCCACCGUCCAUCCUUAGCUGAUCCAACGGUCCCUGCUCCUUCUACUCUCUAUUUGUUCUUUCCCCGAUUCUUAUCCUCUCACACAGCCACACGAACGCGAGCACCGAGCACCAAUGCCAGCAGCAGCCACGCCAAGGAACUCCAGAGCUCGCAGCCGUCGGACGCCGCCGUCCGCGCGAAGGGUCGGUGCCCGCACCUCCCACCGCAGCACGCCGCAAUGGAGGCCGAGUGUCCAUGGCAUCGCCCGAGGUUACCUCCCAGUCGCCGUUCUCCUUCUAAUUCGUCGGGAUCCGGCUGGAUUCGGACACGAGCGCCCUGUUCAGACCUUCCCGCCUCGCUUGGGUCGUCGGCCACAUCGACGACGUCAUACCGCUCACGGGAUCCAGCUAAACCGCUGGCUGGCCACUUCCCCGCCUACACGAGACGCCCCCACAUCAGCGCCUCUUCAACGAGCAACAGCAGCGAACGCCUCGCGAAGGGUGUCUCUGGUGGUGUCUUUUUCUUCUAAAUCGUUUUAAAGAAGUUUGCCAGAUCUGUGCCAGAAAAACAAUGGCGAUGAACUAUGAUUGAUGUCCUGCGAAGGCUAGAUCGGCGCUUGAUGUGGUGGCAGAAUAUCUCCGGGCAAACUAGUAGGCUAGAUCUAGAAAGAAAAUCUGUAAAGUUUUUUGUUGUGUAUUUCUUCCUUUUGGUAAAAGUAAAAUUUAGUUACCUGGUA